rnacentral:tmRNA from 1 species
GGGGGUGAUCGGUUUCGACGUCGAUCGUCGGAUCAGGGGAAGCGGGCCGAGGAUGCAGGGUUAUCUCGCAAACGCUCCCUGCAAACCAAUAGGUGCCGAUUCCAAGCGCACCGACUUCGCCCUCGCCGCCUGAGCGAGCGCAUAAGGAAGUCCGUCAGCCCAGGUUGUGAUCUCGGCCUGGAUCCUGGCGUCAUCUAGAGAUCUCACCGCGCCGUCAUGUCGGGGGGCAGCGCGGGACAUCAACUCGACUGGGCCUGAGUCAGGGAACGUGUGCGUGCGAGCCCUGAGGCCGAGAAACUCCUAAGCGCACUGCGCCCGGAGAAGCCCUGGUCAUUCGUCGGCGGACGCGGGUUCGAUUCCCGCCACCUCCACUU